rnacentral:rRNA from 1 species
UAGGGAAUUUUCGUCAAUGGGCGCAAGCCUGAACGAGCAAUGCCGCGUGAACGAGGAAGGUCUUCGGAUCGUAAAGUUCUGUUGAAGGGGAAAAAGAGCGGAGAGAGGAAAUGGUCUCCGAUUGAUAUUACCCUUCGAGGAAGUCACGGCUAACUACGUGCC